AUUCAUAUAGUUUAAUAUUAGAAUUAUAAUUUGUGGUAUUAUAGGUGAAGUUAUUUCUUUGGAUC
rnacentral:tRNA from 1 species